UAAAAAAAUGAAUCAGUAUACAUGUGAUUUAACUGUCAAAGCCGGAAUGUUUAAAGCAUACAUCCCGCCCAAGGCAUGCUGGGAUGAUCUCCUAUCAGGCAGCUUGGAAACUUCCAGACGCCGAUAUACCUUACGUUCGGUGCAGCUGAGGUUAUGAACUGUCAAGUGGAAUAUGCCCCUUGAGGAAAACAAUUAGGAUCGACUGUCCAGCGAGGAGAUUGCGGAAUCAGCAACUGACAUAUUGACUGAUGAAACAUGAUGGUGCGUGCAGCAAGAGAGGGUUUGACUGCAGAUCCUGACCACCUGCUCCUGUAAAUUUGUACCAACCACAGGCGAAAACAAGAAG